rnacentral:lncRNA from 1 species
GAAAGUAUGUUGAUACUUUUUUCAGUUAGGUCAGUGAAAAACCAACUCAACUAGUUCAAAUUACUGUGAACGAGAUCGUCCAAAUCAACUUCACACGAACGCAAUUCGUCUUUCUAUUAUUCUUAUCAAAGUAUCCAAAAGUAUCUACAGUCGAAGCUUAUUAUAACGACAUCGCAGGGGACCGUCGUUAUAGAGAAAAGUCGCCAUAGAGAAUAGUUAUUAAAUAAAAUAAAUUGUUUUUCAAGGUGCCGAAAAAUGUCGCGAUAGAGAGCUUUUGUCACUAUAAAAGUUGAAGUUAUAACGAGCUUCGACUGUACAAGCCUUCCAACUAAUCAAUCAAGAUGUAAUGAAAUCGAAUAACCCCUGUAUAGAGCAGCUUUCUGCACGAAAGCAUUUAGCUUCUUUACAAGCGUAGCGCCACCUCUCUGUGAAAGAGAAAUGCAAUUCAGAAGCUUUUUGGCUGCGGCGUGAGUACCGUUGCGAUCUCACAACGUUGCAACAAACCAUCCAAAUUUUUUAGAAAAAGAUAGGCUGGCACUCAAAAACAAACCAGUGGAAAACGGACUAAAAAAAUGUAUAAGUCCAUCAUGCAUAUAAAACAGAAUGAGACAGCCUCAAUUUAGGUAGAUUUUUUAUGAAAAGAUGGGAAUUUCAAUAGCGUCCAGUGUUCAAGGUCACUGUUUGAAUGCAGAAUUUAGUUGGCAUGGGUUUUUUAAAUUUAUUCGAGUGGAGAUCGUGAACAAGUGCACAUCGGGAAAAAACUGAGUAUUGAAAGUUAAUACCAAGUGAAGUUGAAUUGAACAUCUUAACAAGGUAGUGAUUAAAAUAAGUUCAAACGUUUUGAGAAUUAAUUAUUAAAUUAAUUUAGGUACGGCAGAGCCAAGUGAUAGGCAAAUAUUUAAAUUAAAUAGUGUUGCUAGUAGAAUAACACGUGCUAAAAAAAACAACUCACCGGUAAGAAUAAGUUUGGUGUCUUGAUUUCAAAAGUGGUGAUCAGCUUGAAUUUCAAAUCAAUGUAGGCCCAAAAGAUCUCUAUCGGGAUUUAGCUGUUCUGGAAAGACAGGACGAGCUGGCUAAAACCGUAUUCGCUGGUAUAAUCCCCACUGCUCAACGUGGGUGCCAGUCUGGGACCAGAAAGUUGUUCGGAUACCCGUUAAACAUCCGAUAAGCAAUCCAGAAGGACCACCCUAAUCGCUUUCCCUCCUGACAAGCCACCCCACUCCCAUCCGGGGAAAUUCUGAGUGGAAGCGUUUGGGAGCAUCGUCUACUACCGCAUUACUAGAGACGGCCGCGCCACUGGUGGCCAACAUAGGAACCAGCAGUAUUCUCCAAGCGUUUCACUGCUCGACACGUCACACGGGUUGCCUACCUAAUAGCGCAACAUAAUCAGCCGAUCCGCUCGAUAGCCGAAUCUGCUGGAAUCGCCGACCAGGGGUCUGCAUCACGUUAGUGCACACGGAGCAGGAAUUGUGCAACACUACGCUCGUUCAGUUGGAUGUACGGUGCCCGCUGAUCGAAGCCCGUCUUCGUAUUCAAGUCCAAUAUCACCUGCCAGCCUUUCCGCCACCCGGCCAAGUCCCAUUGGUCGCUGCGUUACGACUACUACCACCACGCUCUUUCAGUUGGAUGAAUGGUGCCCGCUGAUCGAUGCCCUUCAUCACGCUCGUUUGAAUAUCAACCCGCCAUUCCGACUCGGGCCCAGUCCUAUUGGUCUCUGGGUUAACGAGUACCACGCCAUCUACCACGAUUUCACCACCAAGACGCUUCCCGCCACGCUGCUUCCGAUUGCUGCUGCCGAUCUUCUGCGCCAAAACAGGAUAACAGGUCAGAUCUGAUUUUUUUUUUUAUGAACCAUAAUGAGCUCGAAGAACUUCAUGUAAAGCAAGUGACGUCACUUAGGUAAAUUUAAAAACUAGAAUAUAGAACAUGUUGAAUUCAGAA